rnacentral:rRNA from 1 species
CCUACGGGUGGCAGCAGUGAGGAAUAUUGGUCAAUGGCCGAGAGUCUGAACCAGCCAAGUCGCGUGAAGGAUGAAUGACCUAUGGGUUGUAAGCUUCAUUUAUAUGUGAAUAAAUCGUUCGACGUGUGGGAGAUUGUAUGUACAAUAUGAAUAAGGAUAGGCUAACUCCGUGCCAGCAGCCGCGGUAAUACGGAGGAUCCGAGCGUUAUCCGGAUUGAUUGGGUUUAAAGGGAGCGUAGGUGGAUUGUUAAGUCAGUUGUGAAAGUUUGAGGCUCAACCGUAAAAUUGCAGUUGAAACUGGCAGUCUUGAGUACAGUAGAGGUGGGCGGAAUUCGUGGUGUAGCGGUGAAAUGCUUAGAUAUCACGAAGAACUCCGAUUGCGAAGGCAGUUCACUGGACUGCAACUGACACUGAGGCUCGAAAGUGUGGGUAUCAAACAGGAUUAGAUACCCGAGUAGUC